rnacentral:rRNA from 1 species
UACGGAGGGGGCUAGCGUUGUCCGAAGUUACUGGGCGUAAAGCGCGCGUAGGCGGGUUGGUAAGUCCGCUGUGAAAGCCCGGAGCUCAACUCCGGAGGGUCGGUGGAUACUGCCAGUCUUGAAGGUGCUAGGGGGAGAUGGAAUUACCGGUGUAGCGGUGAAAUGCGUAGAUAUCCGGAGGAACACCGGUGGCGAAGGCGGCUUCCUGGACCGACACUGACGCUGAGGCGCGAAAGCUAGGGGAGCAAACGGG